rnacentral:rRNA from 1 species
AACGAACGCUGGCGGCGUGCCUAACACAUGCAAGUCGUGCGAGAAAGUUCCUUCGGGAGCGAGUAAAGCGGCGCACGGGUGAGUAACACGUAGGUAACCUGCCCCCCAGUCUGGAACAACUAGAGGAAACUCUAGCUAAUGCCGGAUGAGACCACGAUCCCUUCGGGGGUUGCGGCCAAAGAUGGCCUCUACUUGUAAGCUAUCGCUGAGGGAUGGGCCUGCGGGCCAUUAGCUUGUUGGUGAGGUAACGGCUCACCAAGGCUGUGAUGGCUAGCUGGUCUGAGAGGAUGACCAGCCACACUGGGACUGAGACACGGCCCAGACUCCUACGGGAGGCAGCAGUGGGGAAUAUUGCGCAAUAAGGGCGAAAGACCUGACGCAGCGACGCCG